ACAACAUGACUAACAAAAAUGUACAACUGAAAUCUCACAAGGUUGUAAUCUAUCAUAACAUUAAUAAUAAAAUAAAAAUAAAAAAAUAACGUCUGAGUCACUGACGCUUAUGAGGUGGAGGAAGAAAUGAAUUUAUAUUAGAUGCGGAUAAUUCCAUCCAGCAUGAUGUAGUGGAAACAGUACAAUCUUUGGUGUCAGACUGAAGUUUGAAAUCUGUUUCUGUCUCUUUCUAGUUGUAUGGCCUGGGGCAAGACAGCUAAUAUCUCCGGCUAUCACGUUCCUCAUCUGUGAAACAGCAAUCAUGAUAACUGCCCUCUCAAGGUGAUGUGAGCGUCACAUGGAAUAAAUACACACCGGAAGGUGAAGCAGGUGUUAAUACUACUGGAACUUUGCCUUGCAAAUUAUUUACAUAAUCUAGCGCCUUCAUGCCCUCUCAGAACAAACACAAUCUGCAUUCAGAACAGGACCGUUUACAAGUUGAAUGGAGUUGUUUUGGGUGAGUCAUUGAAAACACAGUACAAAACCUUUCCUCACUCACCAGAAAUGCAUUUUUAAAAUAAAGCCAAAGUGAACAAGGCUUGGCAAGUUUGAGGGUGGACAAAAUGGGGAGAGAGUGGGGUUUCUGCCAGACUCAGACAGGAUUCUGCUAAACCAUUUUUGGCUAUUCUUUACAUUCAAUUCCACUAAUUUCCCUUACCAUCACUAACCAAAAAGUACAAGAUUGAGCAAGUAGGACGUCAAAACAAGGGCACUUCAUUUCAACCAGCACUGUGAUGGUGAGCAGAGCCCGGAGAUCCCUUAUAGCUUAGGGACAGUUUUAAAUCCCCCUUUCUGUCAUUCUUUAAUUCAGAAGCUAGAAGAUGUAUACACUUAAUUAUCCCUUUCUUCUGAUUAAGUCAUUUUGAGAGAUUAAUAAUAAUUCUAGGCAAUUUUUAGAAAGUAGAAAGUAGAAUUUUUAGAAAGAAAAAUUUUUAUAAAUUCAGUAUGCAGUUCUUUAAAAUUG